rnacentral:rRNA from 1 species
GAUGAACGCUAGCGGCAGGCUUAAUACAUGCAAGUCAAGGGGGUAGCAAUACUACCGGCGCACGGGUGAGUAACACGUACAUAACAUACCAUAUACUGGGGUAUAGCUUUGGGAAACUGAAGGUAAUCCCCCAUAACAUUGCGAGAGGGCAUCUGAUUGCAAUUAAAGUUUCGACGGUAUAUGAUUGAUGUGCGUUUGAUUAGCUUGUUGGUAGGGUAACGGCCUACCAAGGCGACGAUCAAUAGCUGGCGUGAGAGCGCGACCAGCCACACUGGAACUGAGACACGGUCCAGACUCCUACGGGAGGCAGCAGUAGGGAAUAUUGGACAAUGGGCGAAAGCCUGAUCCAGCCAUGCCGCGUGAUAGAUGAAGGCCCUCUGGGUUGUAAAUAUCUUUUAUCUGGGAAGAACAAUCUUAUUCUUAAGAUCUUGACGGUACCAG